GAAGAGGCAGUGCAUCUUAGAAACCCUAUUCUGCAGUGGUGUAGGUUUGUAAGGCAGAACCCUAUUCUGCAGUGGUGUAGGUUUGUAAGGCAGAACCCUAUUCUGCAGUGGUGUAGGUUUUUAAGGUAGAACCCUAUUCUGCAGUGGUGUAGGUUUGUAAGGCAGAACCCUAUUCUGCAGUGGUGUAGGUUUGUAAGGCAGAACCCUAUUCUGCAGCGGUGUAGGUUUGUAAGGCAGAACCCUAUUCUGCAGCGGUGUAGGUUUGUAAGGCAGAAGCCUAUUCUGUAGUGGUGUAGGUUUGUAAGGCAGAACCCUAUUCUGCAGUGGUGUAGGUUUGUAAGGCAGAACCCUAUUCUGCAGUGGUGUAGGUUUUUAAGGCAGAACCCUAUUCUGCGCAUGGCACUACACCAAAUAUUUAAAUUCUGGAGAUGUUCCGCUAACCAUCUAGCUAGUUAUGAUCCUCUGAAUGUACUUGCUAGCU